GAUGAACGCUGGCGGCGUGCCUAAUACAUGCAAGUCGAGCGAACAGACGAGGAGCUUGCUCCUCUGACGUUAGCGGCGGACGGGUGAGUAACACGUGGAUAACCUACCUAUAAGACUGGGAUAACUUCGGGACACCGGAGCUAAUACCGGAUAAUAUAUUGAACCGCAUGGUUCAAUAGUGAAAGACGGUUUUGCUGUCACUUAUAGAUGGAUCCGCGCCGCAUUAGCUAGUUGGUAAGGUAACGGCUUACCAAGGCAACGAUUCGUAGCCGACCUGAGAGGGUGAUCGGCCACACUGGAACUGAGACACGGUCCAGACUCCUACGGGAGGCAGCAGUAGGGAAUCUUCCGAAAUGGGCGAAAGCCUGACGGAGAAACGCCGCGUGAGUGAUGAAGGUCUUCGGAUCGUAAAACUCUGUUAUUAGGGAAGAACAAAUGUGUAAGUAACUAUGCACGUCUUGACGGUACCUAAUCAGAAAGCCACGGCUAACUACGUG
rnacentral:rRNA from 1 species